ACUCCUGCGGGAGGCAGCAGUGGGGAAUUUUGGACAAUGGGCGAAAGCCUGAUCCAGCCAUGCCGCGUGCAGGAUGAAGGCCUUCGGGUUGUAAACUGCUUUUGUACGGAACGAAACGGCCUUUUCUAAUAAAGAGGGCUAAUGACGGUACCGUAAGAAUAAGCACCGGCUAACUACGUGCCAGCAGCCGCGGUAAUACGUAGGGUGCAAGCGUUAAUCGGAAUUACUGGGCGUAAAGCGUGCGCAGGCGGUUAUGUAAGACAGUUGUGAAAUCCCCGGGCUCAACCUGGGAACUGCAUCUGUGACUGCAUAGCUAGAGUACGGUAGAGGGGGAUGGAAUUCCGCGUGUAGCAGUGAAAUGCGUAGAUAUGCGGAGGAACACCGAUGGCGAAGGCAAUCCCCUGGACCUGUACUGACGCUCAUGCACGAAAGCGUGGGGAGCAAACAGGAUUAGAUACCCUUGUAGUCCCAUG
rnacentral:rRNA from 1 species